UACGUAGGUGGCAAGCGUUACUCGGAAUCACUAGGCGUAAAGCGCAGGUAGGCGGUUCGGUAAGUCUCUUGUGAAAGCUCCCGGCUCAACUGGGAGAGGUCAAGGGAAACUACCGGGCUAGAGUGUGGCAGAGGAAGCUGGAAUUCCCGGUGUAGCGGUGAAAUGCGUAGAGAUCGGGAGGAAUACCUAUGGCGAAAGCAGGCUUCUGGGCCGUCACUGACGCUGAUCUGCGAAAGCUAGGGGAGCAAACAGG
rnacentral:rRNA from 1 species